UGAAUCCGCGCGGGAGAGUCCUCAGCAGCAGCUUCGCUGGGGCGCCGAAGGAGCAAGUCCCUCCCUUGAAUCUCUCAGGCCCCGUUACCGCGCGGGCGAG
rnacentral:ncRNA from 2 species